GAUGAACGCUGGCGGCGUGCCUAAUACAUGCAGGUCGAGCGAACGGACGAGAAGCUUGCUUCUCUGAUGUUAGCGGCGGACGGGUGAGUAACACGUGGAUAACCUACCUAUAAGACUGGGAUAACUUCGGGAAACCGGAGCUAAUACCGGAUAAUAUUUUGAACCGCAUGGUUCAAAAGUGAAAGACGGUCUUGCUGUCACUUAUAGAUGGAUCCGCGCUGCAUUAGCUAGUUGGUAAGGUAACGGCUUACCAAGGCAACGAUGCAUAGCCGACCUGAGAGGGGGAUCGGCCACACUGGAACUGAGACACGGUCCAGACUCCUACGGGAGGCAGCAGUAGGGAAUCUUCCGCAAUGGGCGAAAGCCUGACGGAGCAACGCCGCGUGAGUGAUGAAGGUCUUCGGAUCGUAAAACUCUGUUAUUAGGGAAGAACAUAUGUGUAAGUAACUGUGCACAUCUUGAGGGUACCUAAUCAGAAAGCCACGGCUAACUACGUG
rnacentral:rRNA from 1 species